rnacentral:rRNA from 1 species
CUGCUGGCACGUAGUUAGCCGUGGCUUUCUCUUACGGUACCGUCACUUACGACGGGUAUUGACCGUCGUACCAUUCGUCCCGUAUAACAGAACUUUACAACCCGAAGGCCGUCAUCGUUCACGCGGCGUUGCUCCGUCAGACUUUCGUCCAUUGCG